CUUCACAGUCUCUCAACAGUACAGCUUCCUGUUCAGGAAAUGGAAGGACAGAAGACAAAAGAAUAAAGAAAAUGAACAAGCUUUAAAAAGUUGGAUCAUAGCCUUCCUACAGAAGAUGGUAAACUGCAAGCAGCUUGAAGAACUAUGGUGGACAGCAUUUGCGAUUCAGAAUAACUGGCAAAUUGGAUACACGAUCUGAAAAAUACAGAAGGUGUGUCAUGAUGUGGACAAAUACAAGUCCAGCA
rnacentral:lncRNA from 1 species